AUGCAAACACAGACACAAGCAUACACAUUUGCACGAACACACACAGGUACUCGCACUCACAGAUGCACACUGCACACACAUACACACAUUCACACACACACUGCACACACAUAUACACACAUUCACACACACUGCACAUAUACACACAUUCACACACACUGCACACACAUAUCACACAUUCACACACACACUGCACACACAUAUACAUUCACACACACUGCACACACAUUCACACAUACUGCACACAUAUACACACAUUCACACACUGCACACAUAUACACACAUUCACACAUACUGCACACAUAUACACACAUUCACACAUAUACACACAUUCACACACUGCACACAUAUACACACAUUCACACACUGCACACAUAUAUACACACAUACACCCGUUCACACACACACUGCACAUGCAGUACCUGUGUGCACACAUGUGCCUACUGUAUGCAUGGACAUACACAGGCACUCACACUCACAGAUGCACACUGCACACACACAUACAUUCACACACAUAUACAUACGUUGCACACAUAUACACACAUACACAUUCACACACACUGCACAUUCAGACACUGCACACACAUUCACACACUACACAUACAUACACUCACACACUGCACACAUUCACACACACUGCACACAUAUUCACACACAUUCACACACUUACACACAUUCACACAUGCUGCACACACAUGCACACAUUCACACACACUGCACACACAUACACAUUCACGCACAGACUGCACACACAUACAUUCACGCACACACUGCACACACAUAAACACACAUUCACACACUGCACACACAUAUACACACAUUCACACACCGCACACAUUUAUACACACAUUCACACACAUUGCACACACAUACAUUCACACACAUUGCACACACAUAAACACACACUGCACACAGAUACAUUCACACACAUUGCACACACAUUCACACUGCACACACACAUUCACACACUGCACACAUACACAUUCACACACUGCACACAAUACACACAUUCACACACACUGCAUGCAUAUACACACAUUCACAACUGCACACACGUAUACACACAUUCACACACUGCAUAUAUGGUACCUGUGCACACACCUGCCUGCUGUAUGUAUGCAUUUACACACUUGCAUGCACUGCAUGUUUGCACACAUAUUCACAUGUGCACACUGCAUGUGUGGGUGUACAUGCAGACACACAGCUGUACCUAUUGCACAUGUGCAUAUGUACACAUAUGAGUGCACACAUUGUGCACACAUGUACACACCCACAUUCAUCCACACUGCACAUACGCAUGCACACACAUGCACACACACGCACACACAGCCAUCUUCUCCCUACCGCAUCCCACAGGAGGGGCUUCCUCAGCCCAUGCUGCCUGGUUUGGGGCGGGCCCACCAGCAUCUGCUCAGCUUGCUCUGGAGGACUUGGCCCCGCUGUUGUUUGUGUAUUUUCCAUCGCUCUGCCAGAGCCUCUGGGAUUUUCCAUCGCUCUGUCACAGAGCCUCUGGGGGCCAGGUGA
rnacentral:lncRNA from 1 species